rnacentral:rRNA from 1 species
UACGUAGGUGACGAGCGUUAUCCGGAAUUAUUGGGCGUAAAGGGCGCGUAGGCGGCCAGUCAAGUGACGGGUGAAAGCCCUCGGCUUAACCGAGGAACUGCCUGUCAGACUGGAUGGCUUGAGACCGGGAGAGGUGAGUGGAAUUCCCAGUGUAGCGGUGAAAUGCGUAGAUAUUGGGAGGAACACCAGUGGCGAAGGCGGCUCACUGGACCGGAACUGACGCUGAGGCGCGAAAGCGUGGGGAGCAAACAGGG